GAUGAACGCUGGCGGCGUGCCUAAUACAUGCAAGUCGAGCGAACAGACGAGAAGCUUGCUCUUCUGAUGUUAGCGGCGGACGGGUGAGUAACACGUGGAUAACCUACCUAUAAGACUGGGAUAACUUCGGGAAACCGGAGCUAAUACCGGAUAAUAUUUUGAACCGCAUGGUUCAAUAGUGAAAGACGGUCUUGCUGUCACUUAUAGAUGGAUCCGCGCCGCAUUAGCUAGUUGGUAAGGUAACGGCUUACCAAGGCAACGAUGCAUAGCCGACCUGAGAGGGUGAUCGGCCACACUGGAACUGAGACACGGUCCAGACUCCUACGGGAGGCAGCAGUAGGGAAUCUUCCGCAAUGGGCGAAAGCCUGACGGAGCAACGCCGCGUGAGUGAUGAAGGUCUUCGGAUCGUAAAACUCUGUUAUUAGGGAAGAACAAAUGUGUAAGUAACUGUGCACGUCUUGACGGUACCUAAUCAGAAAGCCACGGCUAACUACGUG
rnacentral:rRNA from 1 species